rnacentral:rRNA from 1 species
UACGUAGGGGGCAAGCGUUGUCCGGAUUUAUUGGGCGUAAAGGGCUCGUAGGCGGCUCAACAAGUCGGUCGUGAAAACCCAGGGCUCAACCCUGGGACGCCGGUCGAUACUGUUGUGGCUUGGGUCCGGUAGAGGAGAAUGGAAUUCCCGGUGUAGCGGUGAAAUGCGCAGAUAUCGGGAGGAACACCAGUAGCGAAGGCGGUUCUCUGGGCCGGUACCGACGCUGAGGAGCGAAAGCGUGGGGAGCAAACAGG